rnacentral:sRNA from 1 species
CUCUACUGAGAUGAAGAAAGAAAAAGAAUACAUGCUCAGCUCCAGGGACACGUAAAGGGACAGAGAUUGGGGGACAGAAGGAAGUGCAUUAAUUCCUUCCACGACCCCUGAAGAGCAGCGGUGGGUCUGAGCAUGCUAUCUCCAUGAAGCAGGCCAGCAGGCAAGCCAGCUGCCACCUCGUCCUGUGCAAAGCACAGGCACCGUCCCCAAAA